rnacentral:lncRNA from 1 species
GGAUCCACUGUUUUUGAGCAAAGUGAAUAAAGAUUCGAAGGGGCAGGACCAAGGAGAAGGGUCCUUUUACAACAUUUACAACAACAGGCAUUUUCUCUUUUUGACAGGUGAUGGGCAGAGAACUGCUCAGAUAGCUUUGUCAAACACUGUGUUGAGACCUCACUGUGUGAGAGCAGAGCACUGCAGAUAGUUUACAGCACCAGUCUCCUUAGCCAUGGCUAACCCCUGCAGCCUCUGGAAGGACACUGCACCCAGCCUUGGGGGAAGAGCUCAGAUAGAAGCAUGGGUCCAGAGCAAAGGGAAGCACAGUCUUAGGUGAGCUUAUUGCCAUCUUGGUUCUUAGUAAUGGAGAAGGAGUUUUUCCCACCUUUGUAGAAGCUCUCUACCCAAUACAACCUUCACCAGGAUUUGGAGGCCAUCUUUUUAUGUAGGAGGAGUUGGUCCACCCUCAUGGGUGGGGGAUUC